AAUCCUACGGGGGGCAGCAGUGGGGAAUAUUGCACAAUGGGGGAAACCCUGAUGCAGCGGCGCCGCGUGAAGGAUGAAGUAUUUCGGUAUGUAGACUUCUAUCAGCAGGGAAGAAAAUGACGGUACCUGACUAAGAAGCCCCGGCUAACUACGUGCCAGCAGCCGCGGUAAUACGUAGGUGGCAAGCGUUGUCCGGAUUUACUGGGUGUAAAGGGUGCGUAGACGGGAACUUAAGUUAGUUGUGAAAUCCCUUAGCUCAACUAAGGAAUGGCAACUGAAACUGGGUUUCUUGAGUGCAGGAGAGG
rnacentral:rRNA from 1 species